UACGAGGGGGGCAAGCGUUGUUCGGAUUUAUUGGGCGUAAAGGGUGCGUAGGCGGUUUGGCAAGUCUUGUGUGAAAUCUUUGGGCUCAACCCAAAGUCUGCAUAAGAAACUGCCGGGCGUUGAGUAUGGGAGAGGUGAGUGGAAGUUUCCGGUGAUAGCGGUGAAAUGCGCAGAUAUCAGGAGGAACACCAAUGGCGAAGGCAGCACUCUGGGACGUGACUGGACGCUGAGACGCGAAAGCGUGGGGAGCAAACAGG
rnacentral:rRNA from 1 species